UAAUACCAGCGGUCCAAGUGGGACUCACAAUUACUGGGUCCAAAACAUCCGUAGCUGGCUUUGUAAGUUUCUUGUUAAAUUGUUAUUCUUAAGGUAAUAGCUGCAAGAAAUACUGCGAAGCUAGAGACUGGGAGACGUAGCGAGUACACCAAGGGUAGUAGUAAAAUACGUUAAUCCCUGUUGGACUAACAAUGGCGAAGGCACGCUACGAGAACAGAUCAGACAGUCAGGGAUGAAAGCGAGGGGCGCAAAACGGAUUAGAUACCCGUGUAGUCCUCGCUGUAAACGCUGCCUACUAAACAUUGUGACCUCCUCGAGAGAUUGCAGUGCUGAAGCGAAGGCGUAAGUAGGCUACCUGGGAAGUAUAGUCGCAAGACCG
rnacentral:rRNA from 1 species